rnacentral:rRNA from 1 species
CAGCAGCCGCGGGAAUACGAAGGGUGCAAGCGUUAAUCGGAAUUACUGGGCGUAAAGCGUGCGCAGGCGGUGAGUUAAGUCUGCUGUGAAAUCCCCGGGCUCAACCUGGGAAUGGCAGUGGAUACUGGCUCGCUAGAGUGUGUCAGAGGAUGGUGGAAUUCCCGGUGUAGCGGUGAAAUGCGUAGAGAUCGGGAGGAACAUCAGUGGCGAAGGCGGCCAUCUGGGACAACACUGACGCUGAGGCACGAAAGCGUGGGGAGCAAACAGGAUUAGAUACCCCCGUAGUCCCUGUCUCUUAUAC